GCCGGGUGGGGUGGUGGGCACCUGUAAUCCCACCUACUCGGGAGGCUGAGGCAGGAGAAUUGCUUGAACCCAGGAGGCAGAGGUUGCAGUGAGCAGAGAUCAUGCCACUGCAGUCUAGCCUGGGUGACAGAGCAAGACUCUGUCUCAA
ensembl:misc_RNA Metazoa_SRP Metazoan signal recognition particle RNA